rnacentral:rRNA from 1 species
UACGGGGGGAGCAAGCGUUGUUCGGAUUUACUGGGCGUAAAGCGCGCGUAGGCGGUUUUGCAAGCCAGAGGUGAAAUGCCUGAGCUCAACUUAGGAAUUGCCUUUGGGACUGCGAGGCUUUGAGGACUGGAGAGGUGAGUGGAAUUCCCAGUGUAGAGGUGAAAUUCGUAGAUAUUGGGAAGAACACCGGUGGCGAAGGCGGCUCACUGGCCAGUUUCUGACGCUGCAGCGCGAAAGCGUGGGGAUCAAACAGG